AUACUGUGCUGACGACCGGCGCACGGGUGCGUAACGCGUAUGCAACCUACCCUUUACAGGGGGAUAACGGAGAGAAAUUUCCACUAAUACCCCAUAUUAUUGAGACCCCGCAUGAGGUUUCAAUGAAAGUUUCGAUGGUAUCGGAUGGGCAUGCGUGACAUUAGGUAGUUGGUGGGGCAACGGCCCACCAAGCCGACGAUGUCUAGGGGAGCUGAGAGGCUUAUCCCCCACACUGGUACUGAGACACGGACCAGACUCCUACGGGAGGCAGCAGUGAGGAAUAUUGGUCAAUGGGAGGAAUCCUGAACCAGCCAUGCCGCGUGGAGGAAGAAGGUCCUAUGGGUUGUAAACUCCUUUUGUUCCGGAGUAAUAAGGGGCAUGCGUGCCUCGAUGAGAGUACGGGACGAAUAAGCAUCGGCUAACUCCGUGCCAGCAGCCGCGGUAAUACGGAGGAUGCAAGCGUUAUCCGGAUUUAUUGGGUUUAAAGGGUGCGCAGGCGGUUGGUUAAGUCAGCGGUGAAAUGCCAUAGCUCAACUAUGGAGCUGCCGUUGAUACUGGCCGACUCGAGUACGGACGGCGCCGGCGGAAUGUGUCAUGUAGCGGUGAAAUGCUUAGAUAUGCCACAGAACACCGAUCGCGAAGGCAGCUGGCGAGACCGGUACUGACGCUCAGGCACGGAAGCGUGGGGAUCAAACAGGAUUAGAUACCCUGGUAGUCCACGCAGUAAACGAUGAGGACU
rnacentral:rRNA from 1 species